AAAUUUCUGUUUGUUCGAUAUUAAAUUCAUUAUGUGUUUUUUAUUAAUCCAGAUCGGCUUCUAAAUGUUGUCUGAAUUGUAUUGAUCAUCUAUAUUACAUUCUUUUUGUUCACAAUAAGUUCAACACAACACAUAAUCAAGUAGUGGGUGAUUAGAGCGUGAUUAAAAGUCACGUUAUGUUACUCACCAUUAACGUAACGUGACAGACCCUCGAUCAUUGUAUUAUAUUCAUAUUUUUGGAAUUAACUACCAAUGUACUUCUACUGUGGUAUUUUGUGUUUAUAGUACACAAAUCGUACCAUGUUUUUACCGCAGUUAGUCUACUUCUACUGUGGUAUUUUGUAGUACAGUAACAGUAAACCUUAUGCUUUUACCACAGUAGCUCAGCAUUUUUAUACAUAGUAAAAAACAGUAACAACAACACCAUGCUUUUAAUACAUUUGAUGUACAAUUCAGAAAUCUUUAGACAUUCAGAUCCUUCUUUUUUUUGGUCAGUUUUAUUCUAUGGCCGUUUUAUUUAUUUAUUUAUCUUAUUAUAUAGUCUUAUGAUAGUGGGCGGAUCUUGGGGUUUGUUGUAAAUAGUUAUACACAUACAAUGUUUAGUAAAUAAAGAAUAAAAAAAAAUCCAAAAUUUGUAAUUCACAAUUUUUUUUGUCUUGCAGUUUCUUCACAUACAUCUCAUACUCCUCCAUCUACACUCUUCACAACAUUUAAACCAACGGCUCUUUUAACAGCCAUCACUUGCAAAAGCUCUCCUACUCACUCACUCACUCACUCUCCAACUCACUCAAGGUGCGUUCCAUUCGACCGUAAGUCGACCAUCGACCAUCAAGAGAUUAGCCUAUCCCCUGUAUGUCAUUGAUGCACUACUUCAAAGAUGUGAGAAAAAGAACAUACACCUGCGAGUAGUCUGUUACAUUGCCUGUGUUGUUGCCUCACAUUUGCAGAAAUCAGGGGAGGGCAUAUCACACAACAUUGCCUUGGCCGUACCAGCAUUUCAUGUUUAUGGACACAAAUUGCCCCGCCAGAUCAAGUACAGUACCAGAUGGCUUGAUGGGUUUGGGCUCACAGACGGGGAAGGAAUGAAAAGGCUGUGGUCUUUCCUCCAAAGAUUUGCCAGAGUCACAAAGGAGAUGACUCCAUCUCAUCGCCUUGACCUACUGACUGAUGUCCGCCUUGACGGAGGAAAUCAACUGACCUAGAGGUGCAGCUCCUGCAAAGAGUAGACAAAGCAGAGAAAAUAUUGCUCAAGAAGAUAUCUCAUCAGAGAGGCACCAGGUAAACAAUGCACAUAAGAAGCAGUGUUGAUUUCUGAAGGAGACAUGGAGAGAUGGAAAAAAGCUAGCCCAACAGAAACCAAUAAACACUGUCUGUAGAUGGAAAAGGGACUACAUCAUCAGACUGAUUCAGUUCUACAAGUUCAAAAUUGAGGACUCUGCUGAACAUUGAGGAAAAAUACCGUAUUGGGAGAAGAUGGCAAGAGUCUGAUUCAAACUUCCAGUCUACCCUUAAAGAUGUGGACCGUGAGCUCAGAGUCCAACUGUAAGGCUAGAACUGAAUCAAGGGAGAGAGCAGUCGUCCUCCACCUGAGAAGAAUAUAUCCAGCUUUGCUUCAGAUGGGCAGGCCAUUGCCAUUAGACUCUCCAA